UUUUCUGGCUGAUUGAGAUUGACAUGAAGAAGGAAGUGCUGGGGUCAACCAGUCUCUACAUCUUUGAAGAAGAAGAAGAAGAGAAAUGCUCCAUUGACAUGGCCCACUGGAGAUCAUUUCCUGGCUACUCCUUUGUUCCCAGCCCGUUCACCCGAUACUUGGACCAGCAUGCCAUCAGAAGUCUGGAACUCAGCGAGAAGUUACAGAAUAUAAGACUUGAGCAAGCUAAAGAAAAGAUAUUUGUUGAAGAGUGAAGAGCUUAUGCUAGGAAUUGUUCGGCAGAUAGAAGAAACCAGGAAUACUUUUUAGUAUUGGUCUGUCUUGUCUUAAUUUUUUAUUCUGGGUGCAUUGGAAAAGCUUA